rfam:Populus trichocarpa isolate Nisqually-1 chromosome 17, whole genome shotgun sequence.
UAAUUUAUUUAUGGCAAAUCCUCAUUUAGUUAUGGCAGACCUACAUCUGACUACUUAGAAUCACCCGUUAUCGCAAGUCUGAUUACAAUAACUUUUUGAGAUUUUUUAGUCUACAAGUUGGACAAAAAUAUAUAUUUUGACUCAUAAAAU